rnacentral:rRNA from 1 species
ACUCAAAUGAAUUGACGGGGGCCCGCACAAGCGGAGGAGCAUGUGGUUUAAUUCGAUGAUACGCGAGGAACCUUACCCGGGCUUGAAUUGCAGUGGAAUGACUUGGAAACAGGUCAGUCUUCGGACCACUGUGAAGGUGCUGCAUGGUUGUCGUCAGCUCGUGCCGUGAGGUGUUAGGUUAAGUCCUGCAACGAGCGCAACCCUUACACUUAGUUGCCAGCACGUAAUGGUGGGGACUCUAUGUGAACUGCCUACGCAAGUAGCGAGGAAGGUGGGGAUGACGUCAAAUCAGCACGGCCCUUAUGUUCGGGGCUACACACGUGCUACAAUGGUCGGUACAGAGGGCAGCUACCCUGCGAAGGGAUGCCAAUCUCAAAAGCCGAUCUCAGUUCGGAUCGGAGUCUGUAACUCGACUCCGUGAAGUUGGAUUCGCUAGUAAUCGCACAUCAGCCAUGGUGCGGUGAAUACGUUCCCGGGCCUUGUACACACCGCCCGU